GUCCAUAGUCAUACCACCCUGAGCUUGCCAGAUAUAAUCUGAUCUUAGAGGCUAAGCAGGGUCAGGCCUGGUUAGUACUUGAAUGGGAGAAAACAGCAGAAGUGAUGCUCU
ensembl:rRNA 5S_rRNA 5S ribosomal RNA